rnacentral:rRNA from 1 species
AGCGAACGCUGGCGGCAGGCUUAACACAUGCAAGUCGAGCGCCCCGCAAGGGGAGCGGCAGACGGGUGAGUAACGCGUGGGAACAUACCCUUUGGUUCGGAAUAACUCAGGGAAACUUGAGCUAAUACCGGAUACGUCCGUAAGGAGAAAGAUUUAUCGCCAAAGGAUUGGCCCGCGUCCGAUUAGCUAGUUGGUGAGGUAACGGCUCACCAAGGCUACGAUCGGUAGCUGGUCUGAGAGGAUGAUCAGCCACAUUGGGACUGAGACACGGCCCAAACUCCUACGGGAGGCAGCAGUGGGGAAUAUUGGACAAUGGGCGCAAGCCUGAUCCAGCCAUGCCGCGUGAGUGAUGAAGGCCUUAGGGUUGUAAAGCUCUUUAAGUGGGGAGGAAGGCUCGUACGUGAAUAUCGUGCGGGAGUGACGUUACCCACAGAAUAAGCACCGGCAAACUCCGUGCCAGCAGCCGCGGUAAU